AAGAACUGUAACUUACCAGGUAAAAGUUUGUCACUGAAGACAGUCCUGAUAAUCCAUUAAUUUUUCCAGCUGCAGUGCCUUUCUCAGACAAUGCAAACACACACAUCACAGCCCCCCCUCUGCAACAUGCUCUCACUGAAUAUAAACACACUGUAUAUAUUGAUCCUCUCCCUCUUGCUUUUUUUCUUCCCCAGCAUGCAGGUGGUAAAACACUGACUGCUAUGAACUUCAUCAGGAGGAAAAAAAAAAAAAAAAAGGAAAAAGCUGUGGUUUGGAAGCAGCUGGAUGGCAAACUGCAGGCUGGGAUGUGGCUGCCAAAACCACCACAAGGAGACUGGGGCAUAGAGGCAUUUGUGGAGCAUUCUGUUUGCUGAUUGCUCGUGGAAUUUCAGUGUCUGGAUUUCUUUACUUCAACUUUUCCAUUCUUCAGACUUGAGCCAAGUUGGAAGAGAAGAGGGGGAUCUGCCAGGUGGCUGCAUCUUGGAACACAGGCCUUGCUUUCCUGUGCCAUUUUGGAGCAGUCCUGUGUGUGGGAGAAGUACAGCUGUGGGACGCCUGAUGAAAAGAGGUGGUUGAACAACUGGCCUUCAGCUCUAUCACCUUCUUUCAGUACUUGCAAAAAAAACCAGCAACAACAACAACAACAACAACAACAACAACAACAACAACAACAACAACAACAACAACAACAACAACAACAACAACAACAACAACAACAACAACAACAACAACAACAACAAAAAAGACAAAAAAAUCCAAGCCAAAGAUAG
rnacentral:lncRNA from 12 species